UGGGUUACUUCGUUUGUUGGAUAGCUAUAGUUUACUUAUAAUCGGAACUUGUCCUUCAAGAACUUUACCAUUAUUAUUAUACCCCCAGUAAACGCAAUGAGCCAACGAUAACACAUUUGUAUUUGACUAUCUAAGAUGGCUGCUAUUCUGUGACAGCCGGUAUAUUUUUCAGGUUAGGAAUGGGGAUGUGCUUCUUAGACCAACGACGAAUCGAGAAAUAUUUUAUACAUUUUACAGAGUCUUGGGCUGUUGCGCAACACUGCAAUGAUUUGUUCAGAACUACAGUUACCAGCGACACCAAUCGGUUUCACAUGGGUGGCAGAAUAUGUCCUCGUUGACACAUUAGCUAGUUCAUGAAGAAGGCUCCCAUUGUUACCUGAUGGGUAUGAUUUUGUGAAUAUAAGAUUGCUGUGGUACAAUCAAGGAAGUUAUAUGUUUAGGUAGCCCUCUAUCUCCCAUCCAUAAAAAAGAUUCCAGUUUUCACCGGGCUAGAAUAUUAGAGAGCUUUCCACAAUAUCUCGGAAAAUUUUGGAAAGUUCGGAGACAGUAUGGAACAUCUGCAUUACCCUGGAAUA